UCAGCCGUGCUUGGUCGCCCGGCGUCCCCAGGCCGCUCCGGAGACUCACGGUGAGUCUCAUGGCGGACUCUCGGAGGACGGGCGGGCCGCGAGGGUGGGCCGUGUGACCACCCGGGGGGCUUGGAAAGGAGCCCUGCGGGGUCCCGGCGGUGCUCGAAUCCCUGGGGUCAGUGGGGAACCCUUUCAUGACAUCAUCCUCGUAUAACAUUUCUGAGGAGAAGAUCACGAAUGGACGUGAUCCCCAUGUCUGGAUUCUUCUCUCCCUCCUCCUAUCGCCAUUUGCUAUAGUUGCAGGGGAAAGUGUUUUGUGUGGUUUUCGUUUUAUUGCUGUCAGUCGCUUCCCCGGUCCGGUCCGCGCGUCCUGGGUCCUUGAGGAUCGUGAAAUGAACGAUGCAGAAGACCUUGAGCUCUGUACGCGUUUUGAGGUUCCGCAAACAUUUCCAGAUCACCUGCUUUUCUCUCUCUACCUCCCAGCGCUGAGCGGAAAGCGUUGGACGCUUGACAGUAGUUAAAAGAUCUAGUUGAAAUUAACAGCCGGCUGUCAGCUUUAUGGAAUGUUUCAGAAGCUCUUGCUGGUUUAAGCCUGUUUAAAUGCUAUCUGGGAAACUAGGUGGAGUUUUAGUUUACCUUGCUUCAUUGCAAUAGGUGAUAGGUGAAGGGUAUCUGGGCGAAAUCAUACUGGGCCAGUAAGAGAUUGAUCAACAUAAUGACCUUAGAUGAGAUAAGGCGUUUGCCAAGUAUCAGUUUUAUUAUCCAUAAAAUUAACUACU
rnacentral:lncRNA from 1 species